CAGUCUGUCUUGGAUACAGGCAUCAAGGGGGUGCAUUACGUGCAGAAAUUUAAAAAACAAUAAUAAAACUGACUAAAAGUCAGUCUGCUUUUUAUUAUCACCAUGUGCCAACAAUUCUAAACAUUGCCAGUGAUAAAAUACUCCUCCUUGAAAAAGUCUUUUGUUGGUCUAACUUCCAAACAACUACAGUGGUUACUGAGGUGCAGCUCUGUGCCUUACAAGAAAUCUAGGCUUUAUUGGAGAAUCUACACUCUCUUAAUGUGACUGCCUCUCAGACAUCAGAAGACAACCUCACAUCACCUAGCCAUCCUAGGACCUUCCUUAAGGAUGCAAAUGCCCUGGUGUGGUUCUCCCAAACAAUUUACUUGACUUCUGGAUCUGCAAUUAUCCAUCAUCAGAGGGCUAAUCAUCACAGGAUGGUCCAGUUCCUGCACUGCUCAUGGUUCUAGGGUUUUAAAGGUUUUAGUGGUCCCACUAUCAAGGAGGUAGACGUAUGCACAUAUAAUAAUGGCGCAAAGUGAAAACUACCUUAAGAGAAGUAGACCCUCUAUAUUGCUCUUUUAAUACAUUCAAUAUAGGCAGUGAAACUAACCUACUGCUGCAUGAAAUUGAAAACUUGUUCUUUUCUUUUUAUUCAUUGUUCAGUAAAAAUGUAAAUCUGUAAGAGUCAGCCACUGUUAAAUCCCAGGUUUUAUCUCCUGAAUCAUUUUAUUUUACCUUGAAGCCAGCUUUUCUGUUUGCUCAUGGCCACAACCUGAAUUCUUGACUUGACAAAGCUGUGGCAGAACCACAAGAAAGAAACAAGUAGUAAUGAAGAAUCCAGAACUCAGAACCACUGGCUCCACCUUGCUAUGUUCCCUUGAGCAAGCUCCUGGGCCUCUCUUGACCUCAGUUUUCUUCUCUGCCAAACAGAAAUACAGCUGCCCAGCUUACUGGAGCCUUUGUGCUGAAUCAGUGGGACUUGUUUUAGCUUUGCAUGGACCUGAGUGAGCUCUGCAGCCACCACCUAUAACUGAGGUCUCUUGUGCCAUGCUUUGAAAGGAAAUUACCCACAACAACUCUCAUUUGAGGAGAAUAAAGCCAUGAGGACUUGCAUUUUUAACCUACACAUGGCCAGCAAAGGCACACAGAGUUGACAUGGAACCCAGAACCAACUGAGGCAAAUAUUGGCCUCAGAACACAGGACAGACACCAAAGAGUACCACAAGGAAGAGAAAUGAAAAUGAAAUUUAGAACUGCAAAACUCUGAGAGUCCCAGUUCCCAAUACUUGUAGGACCUUGGAUAAGCCACUUAAUAUCUUCAUAGAACCCUAGUUUCUCUUCAGCAAA